GCGAUGAGCUAAUUUGCAUAAGACGAGAUUGACGCGCCUUUUAGGCAAGGCACUAUGUGGAGUGCUGUCUCUCGCCGCAAUACGCACAAAAGACGCCUUUAUUUAUAAAGGCGUC
rnacentral:sRNA from 1 species